rnacentral:rRNA from 1 species
CAGUCGAGCGGGGAAGGGUAGCUUGCUACCUGACCUAGCGGCGGACGGGUGAGUAAUGCUUAGGAAUCUGCCUAUUAGUGGGGGACAACAUUCCGAAAGGAAUGCUAAUACCGCAGACGCCCUACGGGGGAAAGCAGGGGAUCUUCGGACCUUGCGCUAAUAGAUGAGCCUAAGUCAGAUUAGCUAGUUGGUGGGGUAAAGGCCUACCAAGGCGACGAUCUGUAGCGGGUCUGAGAGGAUGAUCCGCCACACUGGGACUGAGACACGGCCCAGACUCCUACGGGAGGCAGCAGUGGGGAAUAUUGGACAAUGGGCGAAAGCCUGAUCCAGCCAUGCCGCGUGUGUGAAGAAGGCCUUUUGGUUGUAAAGCACUUUAAGCGAGGAGGAGGCUACUUGGAUUAAUACUCUAGGAUAGUGGACGUUACUCGCAGAAUAAGCACCGGCUAACUCUGUGCCAGCAGCCGCGGUAAUACAGAGGGUGCGAGCGUUAAUCGGAUUUACUGGGCGUAAAGCGUGCGUAGGCGGCUUUUUAAGUCGGAUGUGAAAUCCCUGAGCUUAACUUAGGAAUUGCAUUCGAUACUGGGAAGCUAGAGUAUGGGAGAGGAUGGUAGAAUUCCAGGUGUAGCGGUGAAAUGCGUAGAGAUCUGGAGGAAUACCGAUGGCGAAGGCAGCCAUCUGGCCUAAUACUGACGCUGAGGUACGAAAGCAUGGGGAGCAAACAGGAUUAGAUACCCUGGUAGUCCAUGCCGUAAACGAUGUCUACUAGCCGUUGGGGCCUUUGAGGCUUUAGUGGCGCAGCUAACGCGAUAAGUAGACCGCCUGGGGAGUACGGUCGCAAGACUAAAACUCAAAUGAAUUGACGGGGGCCCGCACAAGCGGUGGAGCAUGUGGUUUAAUUCG